rnacentral:rRNA from 1 species
GUACACUCCUGCGGGAGGCAGCAGUGGGGAAUUUUGGACAAUGGGCGAAAGCCUGAUCCAGCAAUGCCGCGUGCAGGAUGAAGGCCUUCGGGUUGUAAACUGCUUUUGUACGGAACGAAAAAGCUCCUUCUAAUACAGGGGGCCCAUGACGGUACCGUAAGAAUAAGCACCGGCUAACUACGUGCCAGCAGCCGCGGUAAUACGUAGGGUGCGAGCGUUAAUCGGAAUUACUGGGCGUAAAGCGUGCGCAGGCGGUUAUGUAAGACAGAUGUGAAAUCCCCGGGCUCAACCUGGGAACUGCAUUUGUGACUGCAUGGCUAGAGUACGGUAGAGGGGGAUGGAAUUCCGCGUGUAGCAGUGAAAUGCGUAGAUAUGCGGAGGAACACCGAUGGCGAAGGCAAUCCCCUGGACCUGUACUGACGCUCAUGCACGAAAGCGUGGGGAGCAAACAGGAUUAGAUACCCUUGUAGUCCCA